rnacentral:rRNA from 1 species
GACGAACGCUGGCGGCGUGCUUAACACGUGCAAGUCGAGCGGUAAGGCCCUUUCGGGGGUACACGAGCGGCGAACGGGUGAGUAACACGUGGGUGACCUGCCCUCAGCUCUGGGAUAAGCCUGGGAAACCGGGUCUAAUACCGGAUAUGACUCCAUGACGCAUGUUGUGGGGUGGAAAGCCUUGUGCGGCUGAGGAUGGGCCCGCGGCCUAUCAGCUUGUUGGUGGGGUGAUGGCCUACCAAGGCGACGACGGGUAGCCGGCCUGAGAGGGCGACCGGCCACACUGGGACUGAGACACGGCCCAGACUCCUACGGGAGGCAGCAGUGGGGAAUCUUGCGCAAUGGGCGAAAGCCUGACGCAGCGACGCCGCGUGAGGGAUGACGGCCUGG